rnacentral:rRNA from 1 species
CAGCAGCCGCGGUAAUACGUAGGGUGCGAGCGUUAAUCGGAAUUACUGGGCGUAAAGCGUGCGCAGGCGGUUGGUUAAGACAGGUGUGAAAUCCCCGGGCUUAACCUGGGAACUGCACUUGUGACUGGACAGCUAGAGUAUGGCAGAGGGGGGUGGAAUUCCGCGUGUAGCAGUGAAAUGCGUAGAUAUGUGGAGGAACACCGAUGGCGAAGGCAGCCCCCUGGGCCAAUACUGACGCUCAUGCACGAAAGCGUGGGGAGCAAACAGGAUUAGAUACCCCCGUAGUCCCUGUCUCUUAUAC